rnacentral:rRNA from 1 species
UGAACGCUGGCGGCAGGCCUAACACAUGCAAGUCGAGCGGAAACGAUGGAGCUUGCUCCAGGCGUCGAGCGGCGGACGGGUGAGUAAUGCAUAGGAAUCUGCCCGGUAGUGGGGGAUAACCUGGGGAAACUCAGGCUAAUACCGCAUACGCCCUACGGGGGAAAGCAGGGGAUCUUCGGACCUUGCGCUAUCGGAUGAGCCUAUGUCGGAUUAGCUUGUUGGUGAGGUAAUGGCUCACCAAGGCGACGAUCCGUAGCUGGUCUGAGAGGAUGAUCAGCCACAUCGGGACUGAGACACGGCCCGAACUCCUACGGGAGGCAGCAGUGGGGAAUAUUGGACAAUGGGCGAAAGCCUGAUCCAGCCAUGCCGCGUGUGUGAAGAAGGCUUUCGGGUUGUAAAGCACUUUCAGUGAGGAAGAACGCCUUGGGGCUAAUACCCCCGAGGGAAGACAUCACUCACAGAAGAAGCACCGGCUAACUCCGUGCCAGCAGCCGCGGUAAUACGGAGGGUGCAAGCGUUAAUCGGAAUUACUGGGCGUAAAGCGCGCGUAGGCGGCGUGAUAAGCCGGUUGUGAAAGCCCCGGGCUCAACCUGGGAACGGCAUCCGGAACUGUCAGGCUAGAGUGCAGGAGAGGAAGGUAGAAUUCCCGGUGUAGCGGUGAAAUGCGUAGAGAUCGGGAGGAAUACCAGUGGCGAAGGCGGCCUUCUGGACUGACACUGACGCUGAGGUGCGAAAGCGUGGGUAGCAAACAGGAUUAGAUACCCUGGUAGUCCACGCCGUAAACGAUGUCGACUAGCCGUUGGGGUCCUAGAGACCUUUGUGGCGCAGUUAACGCGAUAAGUCGACCGCCUGGGGAGUACGGCCGCAAGGUUAAAACUCAAAUGAAUUGACGGGGGCCCGCACAAGCGGUGGAGCAUGUGGUUUAAUUCGAUGCAACGCGAAGAACCUUACCUACCCUUGACAUCGUGCGAACUUGGUAGAGAUACCUUGGUGCCUUCGGGAACGCACAGACAGGUGCUGCAUGGCUGUCGUCAGCUCGUGUUGUGAAAUGUUGGGUUAAGUCCCGUAACGAGCGCAACCCUUGUCCCUAUUUGCCAGCGAUUCGGUCGGGAACUCUAGGGAGACUGCCGGUGACAAACCGGAGGAAGGUGGGGACGACGUCAAGUCAUCAUGGCCCUUACGGGUAGGGCUACACACGUGCUACAAUGGCCGGUACAAAGGGUUGCGAAUCCGCGAGGUGGAGCUAAUCCCGAAAAGCCGGUCUCAGUCCGGAUCGGAGUCUGCAACUCGACUCCGUGAAGUCGGAAUCGCUAGUAAUCGUGCAUCAGAA